rnacentral:rRNA from 1 species
AUUGAACGCUGGCGGCAGGCCUAACACAUGCAAGUCGAACGGUAACAGGAAGAAGCUUGCUUCUUUGCUGACGAGUGGCGGACGGGUGAGUAAUGUCUGGGAAACUGCCUGAUGGAGGGGGAUAACUACUGGAAACGGUAGCUAAUACCGCAUAACGUCGCAAGACCAAAGAGGGGGACCUUCGGGCCUCUUGCCAUCGGAUGUGCCCAGAUGGGAUUAGCUAGUAGGUGGGGUAACGGCUCACCUAGGCGACGAUCCCUAGCUGGUCUGAGAGGAUGACCAGCCACACUGUGACUGAGACACGGUCCAGGCUCCUACGGGAGGCAGCGGUGGGGAAUAUUGCACAAUGGGCGCAAGCCUGAUGCAGCCAUGCCGCGUGUAUGAAGAAGGCCUUCGGGUUGUAAAGUACUUUCAGCGUGGAGGAAGGGAGUAAAGUUAAUACCUUUACUCAUUGACGUUACCCGCAGAAGAAGCACCGGCUAACUCCGUG